rnacentral:rRNA from 1 species
GACGAACGCUGGCGGCGUGCCUAAUACAUGCAAGUAGAACGCUGAAGGAGGAGCUUGCUUCUCUGGAUGAGUUGCGAACGGGUGAGUAACGCGUAGGUAACCUGCCUGGUAGCGGGGGAUAACUAUUGGAAACGAUAGCUAAUACCGCAUAAGAGUAGAUGUUGCAUGACAUUUACUUAAAAGGUGCAAUUGCAUCACUACCAGAUGGACCUGCGUUGUAUUAGCUAGUUGGUGAGGUAACGGCUCACCAAGGCAACGAUACAUAGCCGACCUGAGAGGGUGAUCGGCCACACUGGGACUGAGACACGGCCCAGACUCCUACGGGAGGCAGCAGUAGGGAAUCUUCGGCAAUGGACGGAAGUCUGACCGAGCAACGCCGCGUGAGUGAAGAAGGUUUUCGGAUCGUAAAGCUCUGUUGUAAGGGAAGAACGAGUGUGAGAGUGGAAAGUUCACACUGUGACGGUAUCUUACCAGAAAGGGACGGCUAACUACGUG